AGUCGAGCGAACGGACGAGAAGCUUGCUUCUCUGAUGUUAGCGGCGGACGGGUGAGUAACACGUGGAUAACCUACCUAUAAGACUGGGAUAACUUCGGGAAACCGGAGCUAAUACCGGAUAAUAUUUUGAACCGCAUGGUUCAAAAGUGAAAGACGGUCUUGCUGUCACUUAUAGAUGGAUCCGCGCUGCAUUAGCUAGUUGGUAAGGUAACGGCUUACCAAGGCAACGAUGCAUAGCCGACCUGAGAGGGUGAUCGGCCACACUGGAACUGAGACACGGUCCAGACUCCUACGGGAGGCAGCAGUAGGGAAUCUUCCGCAAUGGGCGAAAGCCUGACGGAGCAACGCCGCGUGAGUGAUGAAGGUCUUCGGAUCGUAAAACUCUGUUAUUAGGGAAGAACAUAUGUGUAAGUAACUGUGCACAUCUUGACGGUACCUAAUCAGAAAGCCACGGCUAACUACGUGCCAGCAGCCGCGGUAAUACGUAGGUGGCAAGCGUUAUCCGGAAUUAUUGGGCGUAAAGCGCGCGUAGGCGGUUUUUUAAGUCUGAUGUGAAAGCCCACGGCUCAACCGUGGAGGGUCAUUGGAAACUGGAAAACUUGAGUGCAGAAGAGGAAAGUGGAAUUCCAUGUGUAGCGGUGAAAUGCGCAGAGAUAUGGAGGAACACCAGUGGCGAAGGCGACUUUCUGGUCUGUAACUGACGCUGAUGUGCGAAAGCGUGGGGAUCAAACAGGAUUAGAUACCCCGGUAGUCCA
rnacentral:rRNA from 1 species